rnacentral:rRNA from 1 species
GGUCAAGUGAAGAAGCGCAUACGGUGGAUGCCUUGGCAGUCAGAGGCGAUGAAAGACGUGGUAGCCUGCGAUAAGCUUCGGGGAGUCGGCAAACAGACUUUGAUCCGGAGAUCUCUGAAUGGGGGAACCCACCUAGGAUAACCUAGGUAUCUUGUACUGAAUCCAUAGGUGCAAGAGGCGAACCAGGGGAACUGAAACAUCUAAGUACCCUGAGGAAAAGAAAUCAACCGAGAUUCCCUUAGUAGUGGCGAGCGAACGGGGACUAGCCCUUAAGCUUCAUUGAUUUUAGCGGAACGCUCUGGAAAGUGCGGCCAUAGUGGGUGAUAGCCCUGUACGCGAAAGGAUCUUUGAAGUGAAAUCGAGUAGGACGGAGCACGAGAAACUUUGUCUGAACAUGGGGGGACCAUCCUCCAAGGCUAAAUACUACUGACUGACCGAUAGUGAACCAGUACCGUGAGGGAAAGGCGAAAAGAACCCCGGAGAGGGGAGUGAAAUAGAACCUGAAACCGUAUGCGUACAAGCAGUGGGAGCCUACUUGUUAGGUGACUGCGUACCUUUUGUAUAAUGGGUCAGCGACUUAUAUUCAGUGGCGAGCUUAACCGAAUAGGGUAGGCGUAGCGAAAGCGAGUCUUAAUAGGGCGUUUAGUCGCUGGGUAUAGACCCGAAACCGGGCGAUCUAUCCAUGAGCAGGUUGAAGGUUAGGUAACACUGACUGGAGGACCGAACCCACUCCCGUUGAAAAGGUAGGGGAUGACUUGUGGAUCGGAGUGAAAGGCUAAUCAAGCUCGGAGAUAGCUGGUUCUCCUCGAAAGCUAUUUAGGUAGCGCCUCAUGUAUCACUCUGGGGGGUAGAGCACUGUUUCGGCUAGGGGGUCAUCCCGACUUACCAAACCGAUGCAAACUCCGAAUACCCAGAAGUGCCGAGCAUGGGAGACACACGGCGGGUGCUAACGUCCGUCGUGAAAAGGGAAACAACCCAGACCGCCAGCUAAGGUCCCAAAGUUGUGGUUAAGUGGUAAACGAUGUGGGAAGGCUUAGACAGCUAGGAGGUUGGCUUAGAAGCAGCCAUCCUUUAAAGAAAGCGUAAUAGCUCACUAGUCGAGUCGGCCUGCGCGGAAGAUGUAACGGGGCUCAAACCACACACCGAAGCUGCGGGUGUCACGUAAGUGACGCGGUAGAGGAGCGUUCUGUAAGCCUGUGAAGGUGAGUUGAGAAGCUUGCUGGAGGUAUCAGAAGUGCGAAUGCUGACAUGAGUAACGACAAUGGGUGUGAAAAACACCCACGCCGAAAGACCAAGGGUUCCUGCGCAACGUUAAUCGACGCAGGGUUAGUCGGUUCCUAAGGCGAGGCUGAAAAGCGUAGUCGAUGGGAAACAGGUUAAUAUUCCUGUACUUCUGGUUACUGCGAUGGAGGGACGGAGAAGGCUAGGCCAGCUUGGCGUUGGUUGUCCAAGUUUAAGGUGGUAGGCUGAAAUCUUAGGUAAAUCCGGGGUUUCAAGGCCGAGAGCUGAUGACGAGUCGUCUUUUAGAUGACGAAGUGGUUGAUGCCAUGCUUCCAAGAAAAGCUUCUAAGCUUCAGGUAACCAGGAACCGUACCCCAAACCGACACAGGUGGUCGGGUAGAGAAUACCAAGGCGCUUGAGAGAACUCGGGUGAAGGAACUAGGCAAAAUGGCACCGUAACUUCGGGAGAAGGUGCGCCGGCUAGGGUGAAGGAUUUACUCCGUAAGCUCUGGCUGGUCGAAGAUACCAGGCCGCUGCGACUGUUUAUUAAAAACACAGCACUCUGCAAACACGAAAGUGGACGUAUAGGGUGUGACGCCUGCCCGGUGCCGGAAGGUUAAUUGAUGGGGUUAGCGCAAGCGAAGCUCUUGAUCGAAGCCCCGGUAAACGGCGGCCGUAACUAUAACGGUCCUAAGGUAGCGAAAUUCCUUGUCGGGUAAGUUCCGACCUGCACGAAUGGCGUAACGAUGGCGGCGCUGUCUCCACCCGAGACUCAGUGAAAUUGAAAUCGCUGUGAAGAUGCAGUGUAUCCGCGGCUAGACGGAAAGACCCCGUGAACCUUUACUGUAGCUUUGCACUGGACUUUGAGCCUGCUUGUGUAGGAUAGGUGGGAGGCUUUGAAGCGUGGACGCCAGUUCGCGUGGAGCCAUCCUUGAAAUACCACCCUGGCAUGCUUGAGGUUCUAACUCUGGUCCGUGAUCCGGAUCGAGGACAGUGUAUGGUGGGCAGUUUGACUGGGGCGGUCUCCUCCUAAAGAGUAACGGAGGAGUACGAAGGUGCGCUCAGACCGGUCGGAAAUCGGUCGCAGAGUAUAAAGGCAAAAGCGCGCUUGACUGCGAGACAGACACGUCGAGCAGGUACGAAAGUAGGUCUUAGUGAUCCGGUGGUUCUGUAUGGAAGGGCCAUCGCUCAACGGAUAAAAGGUACUCCGGGGAUAACAGGCUGAUACCGCCCAAGAGUUCAUAUCGACGGCGGUGUUUGGCACCUCGAUGUCGGCUCAUCACAUCCUGGGGCUGAAGCCGGUCCCAAGGGUAUGGCUGUUCGCCAUUUAAAGUGGUACGCGAGCUGGGUUUAGAACGUCGUGAGACAGUUCGGUCCCUAUCUGCCGUGGACGUUUGAGAUUUGAGAGGGGCUGCUCCUAGUACGAGAGGACCGGAGUGGACGAACCUCUGGUGUUCCGGUUGUCACGCCAGUGGCAUUGCCGGGUAGCUAUGUUCGGAAAAGAUAACCGCUGAAAGCAUCUAAGCGGGAAACUUGCCUCAAGAUGAGAUCUCACUGGGAACUUGAUUCCCCUGAAGGGCCGUCGAAGACUACGACGUUGAUAGGCUGGGUGUGUAAGCGUUGUGAGGCGUUGAGCUAACCAGUACUAAUUGCCCGUGAGGCUUGACCAU